CUGACUGAGCCAUCCCGGUGCCCCAUGAAGAUUUUAUUUUUGAGUAAUCUCUACACCCAACGUGGCGCUUGAACCCACAACCCCAGAUCCAGUGUGCCCCGCCGACUGAGCCAGCCAGGUGCUGCGGGAGCGGCUCUCUUAACGUGAGCUAAAGUUGACUUCAGGACAAAGUGACCUUUCUGUAUGCAUUUUAGAUUUAGCGGUUCGGAGGGAGAAACAGAGCAGGUUCAGUGUUUUUUGUUUUGUUUUGGAAAUUGGCUCUUGAGCAUGAAAAGGGAAGCAGGCCUUGAUGCCAAGAUGACGUCUUGGCAAGAGACUAGAGGGAUAGCAAGGGUGCCAGCCCUUCCCCUCCUCUCGGGACCCACUGAAGGUCACCUGAUCUGGGAGGUGGGGAAAGGAAACUGGGCCCGACCUGGGUGGGGAGGGGAAAGGACAGGCCUAAGAGGAUGGGCGGCUUGCACAGGCAUCUGUCCCAACAACCUGGGGCCCUGGGUCAGCAGGGCCGGUGUAGACACUACCCAUCACCUCUUAAUGAGUGGCUGCUCUUGAGUCAACGGCCCCACUAGCCGUGGGUCCCGCUCUGCUACAGAGUGCUGUGGGCGUCGUCUGUCCUUCCUGUUUGUCAACAGCCCAGGACGCUCCCCCUCUUGAGACAGAGGGGGAGUCCUUGUCACCGGAGUAGUGGUGCUCUGAAGGCCUAGCCCCUGUUCUCCAGGUGCUGGCGAUGGGGAUGGUGGAGGCCCUCAGCGUCGCAUCCAGAACCUUCUCACCAGCCGGCGCACCCAUCCCUCGAGUGCAGGGCGUGUCGGCUACUGACAGCUCGUAGCUUCUCUCGAGUACUGCUCUUAGCCAAACGGGAGCCUCUUGACACUGGGGUCACAUGCUUUGGCAGCCUGUAGCCGGCGACUGACUGGCACGGAGCCAUCAGAGCUAUCUCCUUGCCACCGAGAGGGUCCAACGUGGUGGCCUUCAAGCUCCAGAGGUCCCCAUUGGGAUCGUGUCAGACUCCUGCUGAGACCACAUUCUUAGCUCUUUCCCCUGCCCUCUUCUGCUCCCCUCACUGCUUUUCUUCCAGAGAGCCCUUUCACCAGCACCCACGUCCCCACUUUAGCUCUGUUUCAGGGGAUCCCACCCAAGGGACUAGGCUUACGGCAAGUGCUGAGUAAACGGGGGGCUCUGAUGGCAGGGUAGCCCCCCCCUCCCCCAGUGUGGGUUUUGCUGAAGGAAUUCGAGGCCUUGCUGGGGUUCUUCCUCCUGCUCUGACAGGCCUCACUCUGCACAUACACACACGGGCCCAGACAGCUCCCUGUGACCCCCUCCUCCCUCAACUUCUGCUCCUGAACUGCUCCCCCAAGGAAGCAGGUGUGAAGGACUUCUGUCAACCUUGAGGCUUCAUUAUGAGCUUCCGGUCUUCGGGUGAGACCGAGAGAGGGGGUCGUCCCUGCCUCACUCAACAAGAGGGCAGUGAGGUGCCCGGUGGUCUCGGUAACUGCUCCUGGCCCGGCCCGACCCCGUCGGGCUCCGUGCUGCGGAACGGGCCGGGGCACCGUUGAGAGGCCUGCCAAGUUUGGGCCUCCUCGGCAGCCACCCCACCACAUUCCACCCGGCGGCCACAGUUUGUCUUGGCAAGAUGGCCUUCUGGGCCUGGCUCCCAGAAGGGCCUAGGGAGCAGCCCCAGACAAACCAGCUUUCACCACAGAAGCCGAAGCCUGAGUCCACGCCAGCCCCAGAGUGGCCGGGCCUUCCUCCACCCACCUGAAGGCUGGCAGGGGAUGCAUGGGGAAGGAGAGGCUUUGAAGAAACAAGAUGGCAGGUUGCUGGGCCCCAAGGAACAACAGACCUGCUGAAGCAUUUUUCCUUCCCCUUUUAAACACUUGGCUCCUACUCUCUCAAGGAAUAAAAUUACCUAAAGAAUGUGCCCCCAAAA